rnacentral:lncRNA from 1 species
AUGCUUCUUUGUACCAAUAUGGAAAAUCUAAAAGAAAAAACCCACACUCAGCACUAUGAAUGUUAUUGGUACCAAAAACUGGAGAAAAUGGGCUUUACAGAUGUGGGCCCAGACAACCAGCCAGUUAGUUUUCAAGAAAUCUCUGAAGCCAAAAGACAAGAGUUCUACAAUCAAUGUCAGAGGGAAGAAGAAGAGUUGAAACAGAGAUUUAUGCAGUGAGUCAAGGAGAAAGAAGCAACAUUUAAAGAAGCUGAAAAAGAGGUCAGUACUGAUAUUUGAUAUAAUUUGCAUUAAUUUUUAGGUGCCCCGAUUAAUUUGGGCAUUUCAAUCUCAAGAGUUUAGUUGAUGUUUUUGGAGAAUACUUGCUAUUUUUCAAAAAGUAGCUUUUUACCAUGUAGAUUUGAAUAUAGCCUUUACAAAAGUAUAGUCUGUAGUGUUUCUUCUAGAGAACUUAGAGAUAAUUUCCCUUUAAAUAACUCUUAAGAUAAUUUUAUAAAAAUUUAUUUAUUUUAUUUAUAAUUUAAAUUUUCAUGCAAGUAAGUGGUUAAUUUUUGACAACCAAGAAGAGCUUGGGACUGUCUAAUGUUAUGAAGUGACUAGAAAAUUG